rnacentral:rRNA from 1 species
UACGUAGGGGGCUAGCGUUGUCCGGAAUCAUUGGGCGUCAAGCGCGUGUAGGCGGUUCGGUAAGUCCGCUGUGAAAGUCGGGGGCUCAACCCUCGAAUGCCGGUGGAUACUGUCGGACUAGAGUACGGAAGAGGCGAGUGGAAUUCCUGGUGUAGCGGUGAAAUGCGCAGAUAUCAGGAGGAACACCAAUUGCGAAGGCAGCUCGCUGGGACGUUACUGACGCUGAGACGCGAAAGCGUGGGGAGCAAACAGG